UAUAUUUUAUAUUUACACAUAUUAUAUAGUUUUUAUAAAUGUAAAAAUAAAAGUAAUCAUAUUGUGUUUAACAAAAUAUGAAGUUUAACAAUAAUAACAAUGUGAUUAAAAAUUUUAAAUCUAACUAAAGUAUAAAACCGCAACAAAUAUUAAAACAACAUACAUAAAUAAACUAAUAAACAUCGCGAAUUCAAAACAAGUCAAUAUUUUUGGGAGAUUUGUAAAACUACCCUUUUUUACUACCCUUUUGCAACAAUACCCUUUAUCUUGUCCAAUUCUAAAAAAUACCCCUUCCAUUUAACACAAUGACCAAAUUAACCUCAUCUAAUAUGAACAUGUAAUUAGAAACUGAAAUUUUCUCACCAAAUUUUUGGCGCCAAAAUUUAUUUUUCCCGCCAAAAACAAAUUUCCGCCAAACCUUUUUCCGCCAAAAAAAAAAUUCCCUCCAAAUUUUUUUUCGUAACAAAUUUUUUCUCAGCCAAAAAAAAUCUUUUAAAAAUCCUUGUAAAUUUUUUUGACGGGAAAUAGAUUUACAUGGGAUUUUAAAAGGGUUUUAAAAGAUUUAUAAGGGAUUUUAAAAGAAUUUUAAAAUAUUUACAAGAGAUUUUAAAAGGGUUUUAAAAGAUUUACAAGAGAUUUUAAAAGGGUUUUAAAAAAUUUACAAGAGAUUUUAAAAGGGUUUUAAAAUAUUUACAAGGGAUUUUAAAAUGAGAUUUUAAAAGGUUUUAAAAAGAUUUACAAGAGUUUUUAAAGGGUAUUCUUGUAAAUUCUUUAAAAAUCUUUUAAAAACCAUUGUACAUCUUUUAAAACCCUUUUAACCCAUUUAAAAAUCUCUUAUCAAUCUUUUAAAACCAUUUUAAAAUCCCUUAUAAAUCUUUUAAAACACUAUUAAACCCUUUAAAAAUUUCUUAAAAAAGCUUUGUAAAUCUUUUAAAGCCCUUUAAAAUCUGUUGUAAAUAAUUUAAAACUCUUUUAAAACAAUUUUAAACCCUUUUAAAAUCU
rnacentral:sRNA from 1 species